ensembl:lncRNA
CACAGAAAUCUCACGCUUAGCCAAAAAAGCUGAUAGCUGCUGGGAGAGGGAAAAUGAGUUUUAUUUAAUGGAGUGUCACCAUCACCCACACUCCAGGUCACCAUCACCCACACUCCAGGUCACCAUCACCCACACUCCAGGGUCACCAUCACCCACACUCCAGGUCACCAUCACCCACACUCCAGGUCACCAUCACCCACACUCCAAAGUCACCAUCACCCACACUCCAGGUCACCAUCACCCACACUCCAGGUCACCAUCACCCACACUCCAGGUCACCAUCACACACACUCCAGGUCACCAUCACCCACACUCCAGUGGCAUUGUCACCCAUACUUCAGACAAGCUGCAUACUUAAGAACUCCAUGGUUUGAGGUGUUUGUGU